rnacentral:rRNA from 1 species
CCUACGGGUGGCAGCAGUGAGGAAUAUUGGUCAAUGGACGAGAGUCUGAACCAGCCAAGUAGCGUGAAGGAUGACUGCACUGUGGGUUGUAAACUUCUUUUAUAAAGGAAUAAAACGAGGCACGCGUGCCUGGUUGCGUGUACUUUAUGAAUAAGGAUCGGCUAACUCCGUGCCAGCAGCCGCGGUAAUACGGAGGAUCCGAGCGUUAUCCGGAUUUAUUGGGUUUAAAGGGAGCGUAGAUGGGUUGUUAAGUCAGUGGUUAAAGUUUGGGGCUCAACCGUGAAAUUGCAAUUGAUACUGGCAGUCUUGAGUACAGUUGAGGUAGGCGGAAUUCGUGGUGUAGCGGUGAAAUGCUUAGAUAUCGCGAAGAACCCCGAUUGCGAAGGCAGCUUACUAAACUGUGACUGACAUUGAGGCUCGAAAGUGUGGGUAUCAAACAGGAUUAGAUACCCGAGUAGUC